rnacentral:lncRNA from 1 species
AUUGGUACAAAUGGAGCCAAAUUGGUACUUGGAGCCCUAAUAGGACAACCUGCAGGGAAAAAAAGAGAGAAAACAUCAGAUUUCAUUGCUUUCCCUCCUUCCUUCUCAGGAUUCCAAGCUCUCCCAUCCAGAUUUGACCUUGGGCCCACCUUGGACAUGGGAGGAUGCCCAAGAGACCCUUAGCCUGCAGCCAGAUGGGAGCACCCGGACUUUGUUCUCUGCUGCUGAGGUGCCAACAGCUGAAGAUCUGGAGGAAGAAGAGGGAAGCCUUUCUAUUGAGGAUGAAGGCUUUGAGCUGUUGAACUCCACUUACAAUAAAAUUACUGGCCCUGGCAGGCCAGGGAUCAGCAGGAGCAGACCACAGAUCAUUGGCAUCCCCAGAUCAUCAGCCAAGAAGGAGCAAGCCUCUGACCCUGGGCAGGAAAACAUCACCAAGGAGAAGCUGAAGGGCAAUGCAGACACCCGCCUUCGCCUCCCAGCUAUCAAGCCUGGCCAUGCCACCAACCCCAUUGCCUCCUCCAACGUGUUCCCAUGGAGACAACAGGCAGCUGCACCCAAGGAUUCCUCAGGGAAGGCUGCAGGGGAUCCAGAGCAUCCUCCCACCCCCCUGAGGCACCCCAUCUUACCAUCAGUGCGUGGAUAUUGGGCUCAUGUGAAGCCAGGACCCCCAGGGCUGCCGGGACCCCCAGGGCUGCCGGGAUGCCCUGGGAGACGUGGACUGGUGGGGCCCAAAGGAGACAAAGUGAGUAUCCAGGAAAAUGGGUGAAGCUGUGGGGUGUGGCCAAGGGUUUGGGGAAACACCACUGAUGGUCUGGGUUUGCAUCAUGCGUGUUUUAAAUCAACACAGCAAAGUGAGCAUCCAGUGCUGCAGUGUAGUGGCCCCUUAUGUGUAUUUGGAAGAGGAGAACACUCUU